UACGAAGGAUCCAAGCGUUGUCCGGAUUUACUGGGCUUAAAGGGUGCGUAGGCGGACUUAUAAGUCAGUGGUGAAAUCUCCGAGCUUAACUCGGAAACUGCCAUUGAUACUAUUUGUCUUGAAUAUUGUGGAGGUAAGCGGAAUAUGUCAUGUAGCGGUGAAAUGCUUAGAUAUGACAUAGAACACCAAUUGCGAAGGCAGCUUACUACACAAUGAUUGACGCUGAGGCACGAAAGCGUGGGGAUCAAACAGG
rnacentral:rRNA from 1 species